rnacentral:rRNA from 1 species
CAAUAGCGUAUAUUAACGUUGUUGCAGUUAAAAAGCUCGUAGUUGGAUUUCUGGAGGGAGCGUCGGCCCGUAUUUACGAGUGCGUGACGUCUCUGUCCAUCCUUGCGGGAAGGCACGGCAUUGAUUUGUUGUGUCGGAUCGCAUCAUUUACUGUGAAAAAAUUAGAGUGUUCAAAGCAGGCUUUCGCUUGAAUACAUUAGCAUGGAAUAAUAAGAUAGGACUUUGGUGCUAUUUUGUUGGUUGAGCCUAAAGUAAUGAUUAAUAGGGAUAGUUGGGGGCACCUGCAUUGCGUUGUCAGAGGUGAAAUUCUUGGAUUUACGCAAGACAAACAGCUGCGAAAGCGUCUGCCAAGGAUGUUUUCAUUAA